rnacentral:tRNA from 1 species
GCGGAUGUAGUUUAAGGGUAGAAUGCUUGCCUUCCAAGCAAGUCGUGAGGGUUCGAUUCCCUUCAUCCGCUCCA